GAGCGGCGGACGGGUGAGUAAUGUCUGGGAAACUGCCUGAUGGAGGGGGAUAACUACUGGAAACGGUAGCUAAUACCGCAUAAUGUCGCAAGACCAAAGUGGGGGACCUUCGGGCCUCAUGCCAUCAGAUGUGCCCAGAUGGGAUUAGCUAGUAGGUGGGGUAAUGGCUCACCUAGGCGACGAUCCCUAGCUGGUCUGAGAGGAUGACCAGCCACACUGGAACUGAGACACGGUCCAGACUCCUACGGGAGGCAGCAGUGGGGAAUAUUGCACAAUGGGCGCAAGCCUGAUGCAGCCAUGCCGCGUGUGUGAAGAAGGCCUUCGGGUUGUAAAGCACUUUCAGCGGGGAGGAAGGCGAUAAGGUUAAUAACCUUGUCGAUUGACGUUACCCGCAGAAGAAGCACCGGCUAACUCCGUGCCAGCAGCCGCGGUAAUACGGAGGGUGCAAGCGUUAAUCGGAAUUACUGGGCGUAAAGCGCACGCAGGCGGUCUGUCAAGUCGGAUGUGAAAUCCCCGGGCUCAACCUAGGAACUGCAUUCGAAACUGGCAGGCUAGAGUCUUGUAGAGGGGGGUAGAAUUCCAGGUGUAGCGGUGAAAUGCGUAGAGAUCUGGAGGAAUACCGGUGGCGAAGGCGGCCCCCUGGACAAAGACUGACGCUCAGGUGCGAAAGCGUGGGGAGCAAACAGGAUUA
rnacentral:rRNA from 1 species